CGGUUCGCAUGAUGAAACACGGCGGUGGCAGCGUCAUGCUGUGGGGAUUCGUCUCUCUAGCAGAGACAUGGAAACUAGUCAGAGUGGAUGGGAUGAAGGAGACCUGUUAGGAGCUGCAAAAGACUUGAGGUUGGGGAGUAGCUUCGUCUCUCAGCAGGACAGGGACCCUAAACUUGCAGCCAGAGUAACAAUGGAACGGAGGUCAGAACGGCCCAGUCAAAGCGCAGAAAUAAAUCCCGUCGAGUACCUGCAGCUAGCCUAAAAAAAAAAAACGAUGCUCACAAACGCUCUCCAUCCAGUCUGACUGAGCUAGAACUAUUCUGCAAGAAGAAAGGCCAAAAAUGUUCACCUCUAGACCUGCAGGUAUGGACAUACCCCAAGAAGAUGCGCAGCUUUAACUGAAGGGGAAGCGGUUCCCGAAAACGGUUACAAGCAAUGUCGUCUUUUUUCCUCCAAUCUCACGGCUAUGUGCUACUUUUCAUUGUUCUCAGACAUAAAAUGCCCCCAAACAUUACAUAGAAGUUUGUGGUUGUAACACAAAAUGUGGAACCACACAAGGGGUCUGAAGGCUUUUAUGACGCAUUCAUAAAUGCGUCAUAAAAGUGUGUGGAAAAAGACUUUCAUAAAGCCACAGUUGCUUUGAAAUCUAGUUUCAGAGCAGGGAUUUUGAAAUGCUAGAAACUUUUUUCACAGAGCAGCGAAUUCCUCAUUUUUUUUCCUAUAAAAAAAAAAAAACGAAAGAAAGCAAAUUAUUCCGUUGCAGCCUUUAUCUAUUCCAUGGCACCGUUAAUAAUUAUUGAUCAGGUGGUUUUUUUUAUUGUUUAAAACAACAUCUUUCUGUUGAAGCAGAUUUGACGUGUUUUGACGACAGAGCUGCCGUGAAAACAACACGCCAAGCAGAGUUUUAAUUUCCCCUGCUAUAAAGCUUUGCAGACUCAAACGCGAGUAAUUAGUGUGCAAAUAAUGCGGCGGCUGCCUUCCUGGGCAACAGAGCCGAGGCUCAGUUCCCAGCCGGCGAGAAUAAAACCCCUCUUUGCUCGUGAAAUUAUCCUUUUGCCGAAAAGGAUGAACACCCUACUGGCAACGCUGUACCCUGCGCCCUGUCAGAAAACUCCACAUUAGAAGUGAAAAAGUAAACAGUGGAGGAGACGUGCAGAAACAAAAGCAAAGCUAUUUCACUGGAGGCACAGGUCAGAGUCCUAAUGCUCAGCCUGUUACAGCAGCAGCAGCAGGCGGGGUUAACCCAGGGUUUGCCUGGGCGAGACGUAACAAGCCCCACAACCCCAGAUCAGGUGAGUACAGAGCGCCGACUCGGUCUGCAAGGAGUUCUGGGCAGCGCGCCAUCCAGCUGGCACGGCUGCCGCCGGGGGACCUGCCAGCUCCCUGAGGAGGCGCGUUACCAGGAGACGAGGUGCUCCUCCCCUACGUUUAUUUACCUCGGUCCUCAUCAAGGUCACAGCCGGUGACUCUGUGGCCCACGAGAGGGGAGCGGGGAGGCACGUGGCAGAGGGAGCGAUCGCGGGAGUCCGGACGCAACACUACCUAUUAGUGACAGGACUCUUUAUGCCCUCACCCACAUCUGGUAAAGAUGAGUAAAAAGCCUGAAAAUAAUGUUUUUCUUCAAUCCCAGAACUUUAAUGUCAGACAAAUGUAUUUUUUUUUUAAAAGUCCAACCUUUAUUUUGAAGACAUUUAUUCGGUUCUUAUCAUUUAAAUGUGACUAAACCAUCCAUCCAUCCAUUUUCUAACACGUCUAUCCCUGUUGGGGAGAGGAGAAUUUAGAGAGGCCAAUUAACCCUGUCCAUUAAUCCUGGCUACUGCUUUUAGAGCUCAGACGCUUGCCUGAACUCACCCAUAUCUACGAACUGAAGCGUUUAAGCCACCUGGAACUGAGGCAAAUAAAUGGGGACCAGGACUUAUUUUUACCUUGCCACUACAGACUGUGAGGAGUCUUCUUUGGGUCACCAUGUCUCCAUCAAUAAAGUUGCACUCUACCUUUCGAAACAGCAAAAAAAAAAAAAAAGCCUUUUUCCUGCUACCAUAAGCAGCGUAAUCCGGUGGUUUGCAGAACUCCAGUAAGUCUUCAUCUGGAACCACGCGCUUUGGUCAGACGAGACUAAUCUAUAAAAACACUUUCUGUGGGUUUAGAGUGAAAAUCAAAAAGGCCGUAACGUUGUUUGUUGCUUUUUAAGAAGAAACAACAAAAAACCAACACAUGCCCAUUGUCAUGUACGAUGGAGGAUCUGUGAUGCUGUGUGCUUUUUUUUUUUUUUACUCUAAAGAAUCCAGGAUGGUUGUUUGACAAAACAAAAUGUGGACUCUACGAGGAAAACUUAAAAGGCUGAUCAUUAGGUCUUUCAGCAAGAGAAAGAUCCAAACCAUACGGAUAAAUCAGCAAAAAACAGUUCACCAGACGCCACAGGCACCUUUUACCACAGCCAUCUCUGUCUUCAGCCAUAAAUCCGACAGAAAAAAAAGAGAACAGAGCAAAAGAGAGGACCCACGCUGGACCUGUAUGCCAGAGACUACUGGAAGGGUUUUCCUCUUGGCUAAAAAGGGUUUUGGUGGAAAGAACUGACAGCGUGGCUUCCUAAAAAGUUUCCAGGCCAGAUUUGGUAGGAGGUGAAUAUUUCUUUCGAUGGCAUUCUGACCCAGCUGAAUAAAGGCGUUCAAACUAA